UUUGUUUAUUUAUAUUUUUUUUUUUUCGACAAACAAACCCAUCCAGGGGAGACCUUCACUCCUUAUCCUCCAUCUCCCUUUGAUCCACCUCACCUGAUCGGUCACCAUGUCAUAGUAAUCCUCUUGACUGACUGAAUCAGCUGUGCUCAGAUCAAGGGCCAAGCUUCGCUUCUCUAAGACAAGGCGCUGGGACGGAGGAUGAGAAGCCAGUGCCGUGCAGCGCUGUGAAAUGUCAAGGAGACCUUCGCGAGUGAGCAGAAAUCCACAUCUGAGAUCUUCACCCGCCUCCAAAAAGGUUUUAACCCUUUGUGCUGCUGUGGCUGUGGGGCUUCGGGGAGAAGAUAAUGAGUGAGGUGAGGAGCAGGAGAUGGAGUAAAUAGCAGAUGCAGGUCAUACAAAGGUCUCCAGAGAUUUAUGGACAAGCUUGAUUGGUCAGUGAUUGGGUGUUAGCCAUCGAGCUUCCUGAUGGACAGCUUGACCUCAGAACCUCACAGAGGUCAUUUAAGUUUUUUCACAGUGCAUUUCUUCGUUGUCCUAUUGGCAUGGUACCACAUCCAUCUCAGGGCCACGCGGACAUGACCUCACGUACCUGGGGAGUGGUGACCUUGAUGACCUUGGCCGCGGCGCACCUCACUGGUACGCGCUCAGUGCUUCUGACAGAUGGGCCUGUGAACUCGUCUGGGAACUCUCAGGUGUGAUUGGGUUUAGGGCUUGGCACGCUUGCCCGUGAUUGGGUUACGGGGCUGGAAAGUGCUCACCGAUGAUUGGGUUAGCCUGAUGGAUGGGCUGCUGUGAUGACAGCCCAUGGCACGCUGCUCAUCGCCAAGACGGAUACACACCAGAACCACAAAAACCUUCCUCACGUCGGGCCUAAAUUUGAUUUCCCC
ensembl:lncRNA